GUAGAAAUGAAGUAAACCUAUCAGAAGAGUGACAGGUGUAGAGUCUCUUGUGCCCAGGGGCUCCCAUUCAAUGUGAAUUGUAUUUUAUAAUAUACCAAGAGCCCCCAAACACAGAAGUGACCUGGACCUCUCUCAGCAUCUGUAGAGGAAGCAUUUUAGAAAAGCGGAAAAUAAAAGAGAUAGGAGCUAUAAGAAGGUAAUACAAGUUAAAUGAAGUUAUAAGGAUGGAACUUUGAUCUGACAAGACUGGUGCCCUUGUAAGAAGAGACAACAGAGAUCUCUCUCUCUCUGUGAGCACAAAGAGAAGAGGCCAUGUGGAGACACAGGGAGAAAGCAACAGUCUACAAGCCAGGAAGAGAGUUCUCACCAGAAACCAACUUGAUGGCACCUUGCUCUUAGACUUCUAGCCUCCAGAAUGGGCCUGAUGCAGAAGUGCUUCUCCUUCCCCUUGCCCCUGGACCUGAGCCGGAGCUGUCUAUCUACAUGAGGACACCAUCUGGCAACACUGAAAUGUUGCCCUCACUGUAUGCCAUCACCAGGAAGACAAGCAAUAGAUGAUGAGUGAAAAUAAAAUGUUUAGUUGGAAACUAUUUGGGAAUGGCUUUAUGUCCACAUAUGGACACAGCCUGGCUGGAACUGGGGAGAUCUUCCCUUUCUGGUGUCUUUUCAAGGUCUUGAGAUGAGCUCUAACAAAUAUCUCAGGCCAUCUGGCCUAGUUUUUCAUAAUUGUGACUCCUAAAUGUAAACACGGUCCGAGAGAAUAUCGGGAACAAAAAAAAGGC
rnacentral:lncRNA from 1 species